AAAACAGGAAAAGGAGGAAAACAUGAAUAGGAAAAAAAGAAGAAAUAAAGAAUAGGACUUGGCAUGUCUCAGGUCGGUCCUGGCUUUCAAUUGACCAU
rnacentral:ribozyme from 16 species